rnacentral:rRNA from 1 species
CACGUAAGGGGCGAGCGUUGUUCGGAAUUAUUGGGCGUAAAGGGCGUGUAGGCUGUUUUGUAAGCCUGGUGUGAAAGUGCACGGCUUAACUGUGUAUGUGCGCUGGGAACUGCAAGACUAGAGUCCGGAAGGGGGAGGUAGAAUUCCUGGUGUAGGGGUGAAAUCUGUAGAUAUCAGGAAGAAUACCGGUGGCGAAGGCGACCUCCUGGUCCUGGUCUGACGCUGAGGCGCGAAAGCGUGGGGAGCGAACAGGAUUAGAUACCCUGGUAGUCCACGCUGUAAACGAUGUGCACUAGGUGUUGGGGCAAGAGCUUCAGUGCCGAAGCGAACGCGAUAAGUGCACCGCCUGGGGAGUAUGCUCGCAAGGGUGAA